rnacentral:rRNA from 1 species
AUGCAACUUGUCUCUGGGGGUCAUACGGCGGUGGCUGUUAACGGGCAGACCAGUAAUUUCUUUGCGAAUGGUAGGGGUUUGAGACAAGGGGAUCCGGCGUCUCCCCUGCUUUUCAACUUUGUGGCUGAUGCUCUCUCCCGCAUUCUGGCUCGUGCAGCGGCUGCUGGACAUAUUUCGCCUGUUAGUUCUCAUCUCAUUCCUAAUGGCAUUUCUCACUUACAAUAUGUGGAUGCAGGGCCGGUCCUAAGAUUUUGGGGGCCCGGGGCGAAACGACAAUCUGGGGCCCUUUGGGGCCCUUAG